AGUACAGUUAUCAAACAAUAAGUUCAUAUAUAUAAAUGUAAUAUAAUACAACCUAUUAGAAAAUGUAUAGAACUUGAAAAUAACAUUUUGUUUGGAUUUUAUAAUUGUAUCUUAUUAAAAAGGACAUACAAAAAAAAUAUAGAGAAUUAAUAAAUAAAAGAAUUAAAAGAUGAUUAAAGAAAAAGAAAAAAAAACAAAAGCAAC
rnacentral:lncRNA from 1 species